GACGGAGGGUGCAAGCGUUGUUCGGAAUCAUUGGGCGUAAAGCGCGUGUAGGCGGUGGGAUAAGUCCGAUGUGAAAGCCUUGGGCUCAACCCGAGAAGUGCAUUGGAGACUGUCCUUCUUGAGUACGGGAGGGGGAAGUGGAAUUCCCAGUGUAGAGGUGAAAUUCGUAGAUAUUGGGAGGAACACCGGUGGCGAAAGCGACUUCCUGGAACGAUACUGACGAUGAGACGCGAAAGCGUGGGGAGCAAACAGG
rnacentral:rRNA from 1 species